rnacentral:rRNA from 1 species
AUUGAACGCUGGCGGCAGGCCUAACACAUGCAAGUCGAGCGGAUGAAGGGAGCUUGCUCCUGGAUUCAGCGGCGGACGGGUGAGUAAUGCCUAGGAAUCUGCCUGGUAGUGGGGGAUAACGUCCGGAAACGGGCGCUAAUACCGCAUACGUCCUGAGGGAGAAAGUGGGGGAUCUUCGGACCUCACGCUAUCAGAUGAGCCUAGGUCGGAUUAGCUAGUUGGUGGGGUAAAGGCCUACCAAGGCGACGAUCCGUAACUGGUCUGAGAGGAUGAUCGGUCACACUGGAACUGAGACACGGUCUAGACUCCUACGGGAGGCAGCAGUGGGGAAUAUUGGACAAUGGGCGAAAGCCUGAUCCAGCCAUGCCGCGUGUGUGAAGAAGGUCUUCGGAUUGUAAAGCACUUUAAGUUGGGAGGAAGGGCAGUAAGUUAAUACCUUGCUGUUUUGACGUUACCAACAGAAUAAGCACCGGCUAACUUCGUG